AAAUCCCCGAGAAGGCGGUGAAAUUGUUUGAUUGUUCUUGUUAAUUAUUGGACUCGUCCCAGCAUCAAAUAUUUGCGGGAGAUAAGGCUUCCCCUACGAACAACAACCCGCCUUGCUCCUCUCGGCUCGGAUCCGCUCGGCUCGGCUCGGGGCGGUCCCGCCGUGCCCACUCGCGGCCAGCCGGCUCGCACCAGCACGUGGGGCAAGCCAAAAAAAAACAAAAGACCUCGCGGGUGGGCGGCUGGGGGGGACGGGACCCGCGGGUGGGCAACGGGGGUCCCCGAGCGGGGCCGGUCCCCCCGCGCCGGCAGCGCGCUGCCCGCCGCCUGUCUGAAGUACGGGGCGGAACGAGCGGCGGCCGAGAGGGACCAAGGCGGCACCCCACGACCCGCACACCCCACGGCCCGCCCCACAGCCCGCACACACCCCACACACCCCACAACCCACCCGUGAAGCCUCCGGGGGGCGGCCGGCCGGGCCCCCGCCGGGCCUGCCCCGGGACGCGGCGGCGCUCACCCGAGAUGGCGGACAGGAGGACAAGUAGAAGCUGAAGUGUGUCCAUCCCAGAACAACUGUGAAUUAAGUCUCUACAAUCAAUGACAAUUCUGGCAUUGGAAACUGGGGCAGAAGCUACUUUUUCCAAGUGAUCGAGUUACCACAGUGUAAAGAUUUUCCAAGGCAGUUGCAACAGCCUGAGAGCAUCCCCACAGGAAGUUACGGCUCAGUUGGCACAUGGUAAACCAUGAAGCUGUGCCGUCCUCUUGCUGAUGACCGGGUUCCUGUUUGAUCCUGUUUACAAGCUUCCAAAGAUUGAAAAUAACCCCAACUCCUCUGCAUUGGGUAGGAAAACAAAACCAUAUAAAGACACACUGCAAUUACUCUGGAGGGCUAGCAAUAUGGAAGAGUGUGGUGUGAAGGAAGAGCUUGUGGAGAAAAAGGAGAAGGUUACUAGGUUACCACAAAAGACAUUAGUGUACACAAUUUUUCUCACCCACUCUUUUGGGCUGGGGAGGAGGGGGAGGAGUGGGCAGAUCAGCAAGUAAAAAAGGAUAUUCUUCAGGAUGUGUAUUUCCCAUGUAGAUGUUUUAAGCUUAUCUGUACUGUGUUACUCAUUCAAGCAGUUUUGCAGUUCUAUUUCAAUGUAUUCAAAACCUCCCAAGAUAUAAUUUUGAAAGAUUGGCCAGGGGAAGGGAGGUGUUUUUUGUUUGUUUGUUUUCUUUAGAAAUUUACUGGCAAGAUAAAGAAUUUUUCCCUGAAUUAUUAUAAAUUUAUAGAUACACAUGCAAUAUUUUAUUAGUAUUGAUGUGUAAGUAGACAUAUCCUAAGUAAUAAAUUUUUACAAGCACUUUAUAAAAUGAAAUACUUUACAGUUAAGGAGAGUGGGUGGAGGGAGAGCAAUUCAGUUAAAUGUUGUUUUGGGCCUGACAGGAGACUCAGCUAUAGGUAAUUCCACAGUUAGUGCAUCGCGUUGAUCCCAUAGUAGUCCAUGCUUAACCUGGCUGCCAUGAAUAAUAAAUAUUUGCAGAAUUACGGAUUCAAAGAUAAGUACCUUCUUCAGGUGUUUUUGUUUUGAUUGCUAUUGUUCUUUAUCUUCCUAUUGUGAACUUCGGGAAGAGUGGAACAUGUCAAAUGCUUCCGAGUGCCAGGAGAUUACCCUGAGGUUAGGUUUUACCUAGCUUGACCAGGUUCCUCUCAGUCAUGAAUUCUGAUAUAAUUUGAGCCUUUCCAGAAGGGAAGUGGAAAACACUACCACAUCAGACAUAUACAAAUAUGCAGACAAAUUCAGCCACAGUGACAGAUAGCACUUAUGUCUGGUCUUCAUGGGUGGAGGUAAAAGAAAAGGUAUGGAGGGCGGCAGGUAGCCAUGACCAGUUUCACUGAGAGCUUAGGGCCAACUCUCAAGACGAAACCCUGGGCCAGCUUCUGGAUUUCAUUAUGAUUUUGUCCCCAUGCAGGCAAUUAUUCCAUGGUUCUUGUCAGGAGAAGACUUCUAAUCAAGUCUGAAUGCAGGGUUAUGAGAUUAACUGAUAAUAUAUUGAUGUAAAUCAGCUUUUUCUGCUUUGUAGUGAUGCUUCAGACACAUAUCAGAUGACAGUCUAAGUCAAGGUAUUUUAAAGUGAUUGAUUUAGAUACAAAAAGUUUUAUGAUUCACUUUUCUCUUUUCUAACUGUCAGAAGUCAGCUGUGACGUUCUUGUAUUUCUUCCUCUUCUAAAUAAGCUUAUCAAAGAAGAAAUCACUAAUUUACCAACCAGUGCUUAGUAAUCAAGGAAGUGAAACUUCUACUUUAGAGAAAGAUGAAAUUCUUUGCUGAGUUGCUGAAUGAUUUUAAAUAAUAUAAGCUUUCCAUGUUGUACUGGGCAACUGACUUUUUUUUAAGGCUUUCAUUCUGAGAGGGGUCACCAGCCUUUGAGGAUGAGCCACUUUGUUGACAAAUCUGUCCUGUAAACUGAAUGGCAUUAAUUAGAACUUGAUGCUGUAGAUUCUUACUUUUUAAUGUGGGUGGUGGUAUCAACAAAAAAAUUAUAAUGAAUUUGAUUGAAGAUGAUUUUAAAAGGUCUGCCACCUGUAGAUGAAAAUGUGCAUUACUACACAUGAUAAUUAUCAAGACUGAAGGCCAUGACAUGAUCUGUUGACCUCUUGAAAUCAAAACACUUACUGUAAAGAAAAAAGGGCACAGAUUUCUCUGGCUAUGUUAAUAUAGGAUGUCUGUAUAUUCAACUAUAUCAGUACACUGUCAUAUAUCUAGGGUAAAAGAUAAUUUGGAUUAUCUGUUAGACCCAAGUUUUCUGCCUUCUGCUCUGCAGUCUUGUAAAUCUCUCACUAAUUUUGUAUGUUUUGAGAUUUUUUAUUAUUAUUUUUUUAAUCUAAUGAAAUUGCUAAAAAUAUUCAGGUGUCUGAGACAGCAGCAAAAUGUCUCUAAGCCACCCUACAAAAAUAAAUGAGUUUUGUGUGUGCAGGAUGAAAAAGAAUGUGUACAGAAACAGAUUU